rnacentral:rRNA from 1 species
CCUACGGGUGGUUGCAGUGGGGAAUAUUGGGCAAUGGGCGCAAGCCUGACCCAGCAACGCCGCGUGAAGGACGAAGGCCUUCGGGUUGUAAACUUCUUUGAUCAGGGACGAAAAAAAUGACGGUACCUGAAGAACAAUCCACGGCUAACUACGUGCCAGCAGCCGCGGUAAUACGUAGGUGGCGAGCGUUAUCCGGAUUUACUGGGUGUAAAGGGCGUGUAGGCGGGUCUGCAAGUCGGAUGUGAAAUUCCCGGGCUUAACUCGGGCGGGUCAUCCGAAACUGCGGAUCUU